rnacentral:rRNA from 1 species
UGACAGGAUUUAACGGCCGCGGUACUCUGACCGUGCAAAGGUAGCACAAUCACUUGUUCUCUAAAUAGGGACUAGAAUCAAUGGCAUCACGAAGGUCCCACUGUCUCCUUUUUCUAAUCAGUGAAACUGAUCUUCCCGUGAAGAAGCGGGAAUAACUUUAUAAGACGAGAAGACCCCAUGGAGCUUCAAAUUCAAUAGUUACCUCAUGUAAACUACACGACAAUUAAGAGAAAUAGCUAUUAAUUUUGGAUUGGGGUGAUCACGGAAAAUAGUACAACCUCCGCAAUGAAUAGAACAUAUUCUUAUCCAUGAGCGACACCUCUAAGAAUUAUUAAAUUAUCAUACAAUGAUCCGAUAUUACUAUUCGAUCAAUGAACCAAGUUACCCUGGGGAUAACAGCGCCAUCCACUUUAAGAGUUCAUAUCGACAAGUGGGUUUACGACCUCGAUGUUGGAUCAGGGUAUCCCAGUGGUGCAGCCGCUACUAAAGGUUCGUUUGUUCAACGAUUAAAACCCU